GCUGUAGCUAAAUGGUAAAGCAUCUGCUCUGCGUGCAGACGGUCCCAUGUUCAAUCCCCAUCAUCUCCA